GGGGCUGGGUGGGGACGCCGGGGCUCUGCCUGCACGCCCGCGGGAGCCGCGGUCCCGACCCCUAACUUACGGUUCGCGGCAGGGUAGACCAGGCCCAUUCUGUCCUCUUCCGGUGGGCGGCCGCUACUAGGCUCGCCCUGCUGCGUUUCUGAACGUGGACUUCAAGUGCCGCACCGCUGAGACCCUGUGCGGGGUGCCCAGAGCCGGAGCACAGCGUCGCCCUCGCAGCGCUGUCAGAAGAACUCCAGUUGCCGCGUCUUCCUUGCUGGCGAGGGGGCCCGACAAGUGGUGCCGAAACCCGGGAACCAAAACAACUUUGAAGCACCAGCGGAGACGACCUCGAUAGAGGACCAGGACAAUCCCAUCUGGGUGCCCACACGGCUGACUAGAACGGUGCAGCAGCCUCUGGAGCAGCAUGAAGACGUGCUGGCUACUCCUCCUGACGACAGUAUGGAUGAUCGCAAGGAUGGCAGCGGAGCCACGCUGGGGGAUCCUGUCAGUACUUCCCCUGCCGAUGCCUGUGACACAUAACUCACCAAUUUUCCCCCGCCUCUUUUCUACUAAUGUUUCCCUGGGCACUGCGU